rnacentral:lncRNA from 1 species
AUGGGAAGAUUCCCAAGAUACAUACUGUUACGUGAGAAGAAGCAUGCAGAACAGUGUAUACACCAUCCUACUCUAAGAGUUAAAAUCAAGUUAGGAACCUACAACUCAGAUACAGCAAAAGUUAGCAUUUUAGCAAAUUGGCUUCAGAUCUAUUUUCUUCUCUCUCUUUUGAAGCAGAGUCUUUCUCUGUCACCCAGGCUGGAGUGCAGUGGUGCAGUCUCGCCUCACUGCAACCUCCACCUCCUGGGUUCAAGGAAUUCUCAUGCCUCAGCCUCCUGAGCAGCUGAAACCACAGGUGCAUGUCACCACACCUGGCAAAUUUUUUGUAUUUUUUUGAGAUGGAGUUUUUCUCUUGUUGCCCAAUCUCGGCUCACUACAACCUCCACCUCCCAGCUUCAAGCAAUUCUUCUGCCUCAGCCUCCUGAGUAGCUGGGAUUACAGGCACCCGCCAUCACCCAGCGAAUUUUUUGUAUUUUUAGUAGUGAUGGGUCUCACCAUGUUGGCCAGGUUGGUCUUGAACUCCUGACCUCAGGUGAUCCACCCACCUUGGCCUCCCAAAGUGCUGGGAUUACAGGCGUGAGCCACUGUGCCCAGUUGCUCAGCCUGUAAUUUCAACACUUUGGGAGGCCAAAGCGGGAGGAUCACUUAAGGCCAGGAGUUCAAGACCAGCCUAGGCAACAUGGAGAGAACUCUCUCCCACCCCCCAUCUCUAAAAAAAGUAAAAAGUUAUCUGGGAGUGAUGGUGCAUGCCUGUGGUCCUAGCUACUUGGGAGGCUGAGGUGGGAAAAUUGCUUGAGCCCAGGAAGUCAAGGCUGCAGUGAACCAUGAUCCUGCCACUGCACUGCAGUCUGGGUAACAGCAAGAUUCCAUCUUACAAAGCAAAGGAAAACAAACCACAACACAACACAACAAAAAAACCCAUUAAAUAUGGCUGGGCAUGGCUCAUGUGUGUAAUCCCAGACACCUGACAUGCUAAGGCAAGAGGCCAUGAGUUCAAGACUAGCCUGGACAAUAUAGUGAGACCCCUGUUCCUGCAAAAAAAUCCCCACAAAAAUUAGCCACAUAUGGUGGCACAUGCAUCUCUGUGGAGAGAAUUGGAGUCCUGACUACUGGGGAGGCUGAGGUGGGAGGAUUGCUUGAGCCCAGGAGUCAAGGUCACAGUGAGCUACGAUUGUGCCACUGCACUCCAGCUUGGGCAACAGAGCAAGAUCCUGUCUCUAAAUAAAAUACAUUUUUUUUUAAAAGAGACAGGGUCUCGCUAUAUUGCCCAGGCUGGAGUGCAGUGGCAAUUCACAGGGGCGAUCCCACCGCUGGUCAGCAUGGGAGUUUUGAUCUGCUCUGUUUCCUACCAGGGCCAAUUUGCCCCUCCUUAGGCAACCUGGUGAUGCCCCGCUCCCAGGGGGUUACCAUAUUGUUGCUGAACUUAGCGUGGACACCUGAUUGGCAUAGUGCACUACAGCCCAGAACUCCUGGA